UACAGAGGUCUCAAGCGUUUGUUCGGAUUCAUUGGGCGUAAAGAGCUCGUAGGCGGUCUGUCGCGUCGGUCGUGAAAACCUGCAGCUUAACUGUGGGCUUGCGGUCGAUACGGGCAUGACUGGAGUUCGGCAGGGGAGACUGGAAUUCCUGGUGUAGCGGUGAAAUGCGCAGACUAUCAGGAGGAACACCGGUGGCGAAGGCGGGUCUCUGGGGCCGAUGACUGACGCUGGAGGAGCGAAAAGCCGUGGGGAGCGAACAGG
rnacentral:rRNA from 1 species